GAGAGAGCCCAUAUUUGUCUUGC
rnacentral:siRNA from 1 species